ACAAGAAAAAGUACCAGCUCAAUCCAGGAGUUUAUACUGACGGUGACAGGAUCAAUGGAUUCCACAUAAUGCCACCAGUGUCUGGGAACAAACAGAACCUGAAAACCAAAUGAAAAGUAGUUAACACGAGAACAGAGCAUUUCUCACUCUAACUGAGACUGCUAAAGGGAAAGAGACAAUGAAUCCAAGGGAGCAGAGUGAAGGGGAAGAAGAACCCCAGCUGUCUCCUGUGUUCCUCCUCUAACUGGUUUCACAGACACAGUGAAGUGCUUGACUUCUGGAAUUCAAGGGCAGCCUACUAUCACACAGCUACAGGGGGAGAACUGUUGAAGAUCAGAUGCCUGACUGACGGUUACUCCAGGAAAAAGACCGGCAGGUACAGAAACAGAAGAGGUCAUUAAGUCUCUAUCUACUGGGGCAGUAGAGACCCAGCGCUCAGCCAUGCUGUGUUGAUUGAAUGGCAUGGGUGGGGAACUAGAAGCCAGAGAGACUCAUUUUGUCACACACGAAAGUCAGACCAACAAAUUGCAGCAGCUAUACUGCAGCAGAUAGGAGACUCCAACUGCGCGCUGCAGCCAGGCAGGAAGAUGACUUGCAGAAAACGGAGAGCAACCCACUCUUCUAAUCACGUUGAAUUUCAAAGCAUAUUCUCUUAGGAUAUCAUUGGUUAUUAACAUGUAAUGGGCUUAUUGUGCUAUUUAUUGUAUUGCUUUACCAAUUAUCUCAUGUCAAUAUAAAAAGGCUUGAAACAGUAACAAGCAUGAUUAAGUAACAAAGCUAACUGCAUUUUUAAAAGCACAACAAGAAUUUACGUACCUAUGAUGUAUGUGAGAGAAAUGAAAAACUGGUCAGAGUGUCAGAGUGACCUAAUCGCUUUCCACCUGAACCACGCUGUUUAGGCUAGACUAUUUUGGAAAACACUUCAUAUGUGACAAGGACCAUCACAGGAGCUGGUAACAACUGGGAGAGCAUUGCCUCAAGGACAGCCAAGAACUGGCCAAUUAAAAAUAUGUCCGUAGUAUGCUUCAUCUAUGUACCUCAAGGAUAGAUAAGAAAGGGCCAACCAAGAACAUACUCAUGUUCAUACUUCAUUUGCAUAAUGAUAUCAUGUUUUUAGAAUUUGCUGUCCUCAAUUAGUUCUGGGUAUGAAAAUUAGGUGAAAACUGGUGGUCCUGCAAAAUGGUCUACAAAAAGUCCUGUAAUCUCUGGAAGGGAGCUCCUCCGGCCCUCACUGCCUUGAGUGUGCUAGAUGAGUUCCGUGCCUAGGCUCGUACAAUAAACCUUG